ensembl:lncRNA
UUUUGUUGACUUAAACGUCCUUCUGUGUGGCACCCUUCUGACCUAUAGGUGAGCGAUGUUUUGACUUAGACAGAAUCUCUCCGUUUUCAUCUGGAUUCUUCUUGCUGGUUUCUCUCUGCUUAACCUCUGUGGGCCCUAUCAGGUCUGCUGGUUUCCCUGUUGGGUUCUUUCUGUUUGAAUUCCUGUGAUUCUGACAGCUAAGACUAUAUGGCUUUAGUCUUGCAAACAUAUUCUUUUCUUUCUUUCUGCCUGAAGUGCCCUACUCUCUUGGCUCCCCAUUUGGAGCCUUCUAAGUGAGACAUGCCUCCCACACGGGGCAUCUGGGAGGGAGAAACAAUUUGGUUGUACUGUAUAUCCACUGGCCAGUCUCAGAACUGCAGUAUUCCCAAACAUAUUGUAAUGUUGGCUGUGCGCCCAAUCCCAUGCUGGCAGGUUUCUCACAAGAUUGCAGAGGAUGUUGGUUUGCAUGACUGGAUGUUUAUGUUCAGCUCAGGAUCUGCAUGUUGUUGACGUCCUAGAGUAGGAAUGAGUAAAGUAUGGCCUGCCAGAUGUUGUUGGACUGUAGUUCUCAUACUUGCCUACCAGUACAGCUUUCAGCUGUCCAUCUGAUGGUGAUGAAAGCUGGGAGCUGCUGCAGUCCAAGCACUUCUACAGGACCUCUCUUUGUCCACUGCAUCCUGGGGCUUGCAGAGUCUCUUCCAGAUGUUAUGUCCAGAUGAUUUUUCUGAAUCGCAGCAGGCUAAGCUGCAGCCCCUCAUACCAAUUUUUUAAAACCCUCAGGACCCUAGCACCUGCUUUUCUUUUCUGAAUCUCUCUGUUCUUUCUGUGGAAUGAGUAAGUUUGCCCUUGCUCACUGUCUAUGUUUUGAUGGCUCUCUGGAAGCCAGUUGGUGGCUUUUCUCUGUUGCUUGAUGUCCCUGAUCCCUGAGGGUCUGCUCCCCCUUGCUUUCUUGCUCUUUCAUGCCUGCUGCUGUGUGGCCCCGAGGUGUCCUAUUGCCUGUUUCUGCCCUCCGGGAACCACUACUGUCUGUUUCUCUCUCCUUCUCUUACUUUCUCGCUCUCUUUCUUCUUUCCACGGCCAAGUGUGUGGCUGAGUCUCUUUGUUUGGCCUGGGGACAUUGCUAUGUUUUUUUCUGUUUGUUUAGUGCUGUCCUUCUUUUUCUUGACUUUGUGUUUUUUCUUCUCUUCCUCCCCCUUUCUCUGCCCCUCCAUCUACUCAUUCCUCAUGCAUCCACCAUCUCUCUCCAUAUACACCUGUUUCUCCCCUGCACACACCUUUCACCUUCUUCCACCCAUCUUUCCAUCCUCUCUCUCUCUGUCUCUCUCUCUCUCUGUCCCUGUCUCUCUCUGUUGCUCCGUCUCUCUGCUGCCUUCUAUAGGUCGUCCACGUGUCCCACUCUGCACCAGUACUGCUGCUCUGCUCAGUCGCUUCUUCACUCGCAGCUAGCUUCCCCUGCCAGGCACACAGGCUGCAGGGAUGAUGAAGAGGCUGAGGACGUCCAUCAGUUUUGUUGCCCUGCCUCUGAGUGCAGUAGCCCCUCCUCUAGGUAA